AUUGAACGCUGGCGGCAGGCCUAACACAUGCAAGUCGAGCGGAGCGGCGGACGGGUGAGUAAUGCCUAGGAAUCUGCCUGGGAGUGGGGGAUAACGUCCGGAAAGGGGCGCUAAUACCGCAUACUAUCAGAUGAGCCUAGGUCGGCGUGGCUAGUUGGUGGGGUAAAGGCCUACCAGGUCGACGAGCCGUAGCUGGUCUGCGAGGAUGAUCAGUCACACUGGAACAGAGACACGGUCCAGAGGCCUACGGUAGGCAGCAGGGGGGAAUAUGGGACAAUGGGCGAAAGGCUGAUCCAGCCAUGCAGCGUGUGCGAAGAAGGUCUUCGGAUUGUAAAGCACUUGAAGUUGGGAGGCGGUACCAGCAGAAGAAGCACCGGCUAACUUCGUGCCAGCAGCCGCGGUAAUAC
rnacentral:rRNA from 1 species